GGCCAUUAGCAUAGUGCUCUAAUGCAGCCAGCUCAUAACUGGAAGAUCACCGGUUGGAAUCGCGGUAUGGCC
rnacentral:tRNA from 1 species